CAAUAGCGUAUAUUAAAGUUGUUGCAGUUAAAAAGCUCGUAGUUGGACCUUGGACCUGGACAGGCGGUCCGCCUCACGGCGUGUACUGUCCUGCUGGGUCUUUCCUCUUGGUGAUCUGUUGUUUCGGCAGCAGGGAACCAGGACUUUUACUUUGAAAAAAUUAGAGUGUUCAAAGCAGGCUCGACGCCGGAAUAUAUUAGCAUGGAAUAAUAAAAUAGGACGUGCGGUUCUAUUUUGUUGGUUUUUGGAAUCGCCGUAAUGAUUAAUAGGGACAGUCGGGGGCAUUAGUACUCGCAUGCUAGAGGUGAAAUUCUUGGAUUUUGUGAAGACUAACUUCUGCGAAAGCAUUUGCCAAGGAUGUUUUCAUUAA
rnacentral:rRNA from 1 species